UACGUAGGGUGCGAGCGUUAAUCGGAAUUACUGGGCGUAAAGCGUGCGCAGGCGGUUUUGUAAGCCAGAUGUGAAAGCCCCGGGCUUAACCUGGGAAUGGCAUUUGGGACUGCAAGGCUUGAGUGCGGCAGAGGAGACUGGAAUUCCUGGUGUAGCGGUGAAAUGCGCAGAUAUCAGGAGGAACACCGGUGGCGAAGGCGCUGCUCUGGGCCGGUACUGACGCUGAGGAGCGAAAGCGUGGGUAGCAAACAGG
rnacentral:rRNA from 1 species